rnacentral:lncRNA from 1 species
AUGCUGCAGCAGAGCGACCCGCAGCCGAGGUGGAGGGCAGAUGGAUCCAGGGCGCUUAAAAUCAGCCUGCGGCGCCUUCCCCGCGUUCAAGGUGGACGAACAGCAAGCACCACGCAGUCCAGGCUUUGGUCGGUCUGUUUAAUUGAGGAAUCUGGAGGCUCCGUGUGCGUCUGCUCGCUGGAAGAGCAGUCUGUAAGCAGAGCGGGGAGAGUAUGGCAACAGUCCAGUUGCUACUUGGGAUGCCCGAGUCCCAUAUCAGAGUGCCUGGUUCAGGUCGGUGCUUCUCUGUUUCUGAUACAGCUUCCUACUAAAGCAGACCCUCAGAGGCAGCAGGUGAUGGCUCAAGUAGUUGGGUUCCUGCUAUCCAUGUGGGAGACUCAGACUGAGUUCCUGGCUCCUGGCUUUGGACUGGCCCAGCCCUGGUUAUUGCCUAUAUGUGGGGAGUAA